AUAAGGAAAGGAAAAAGCAACAAAAACAGAUGAACACUAAAUGAAGAUGAUCCUGUUGACUAUCAGAACUAUCUUUGAAGAUUUCUAAACAAUCAGGAACUUCAGUUUGUUUUCAGCAUAUGCUCCCAGGGGAAGGUCAUCUGAUUCAUAUCCGUCAAAUGUUGAAGGGAUGAGUCACAGUCAAACAAAUCACACUUUUCUAACUUGUCUUUACACAUACGGGAAGGAAUAAUCUCUCUUCAUUUAAACGGAAUUUUCUUUCUUUUUUUUUUGGUAGGCAACAUUCAAUAACUUAGCCCCAUGUUACCUGUUUUCCUUGAAUUAUGAAUAUUUAUUCCCCUCCGUACCCAUAAAUAAUACAUAAUCUACAGUUGCCUCAUUUUUUCUCUUAUGACCUUUAUACAUAUCCUGUACAUUAAAUUAAACUCCCUCAUAGUUAUGAAAAGCUCUAAUUUCCAAUUGAAACUUAAUUCAACACCUACAAAGAAACUUGUCUUCAAAUAACUAAUACUAGACUUUAUAUAUUCCUUUCUGGCAGCCAGCUAACAUUGGACGUGAACAGAAAUGCACUGCUGAAGAAACAAUCUGUUUAUGCCACAGAGUUAAGUUGUGAUAAAAUGUGCAUGUUCCUGUCCCCUGUCUUACCAAUCCCGUUAAUGUAGAGGUGUGAAAAGUGCCCGCUUUGUGCAAUUGUCCUGACAGGAGGCUGUGCAGAUGCAGCACCUGCUUUUUUGCUCCAGAAAAUUUUCAAAAGAAGACACGGUCGCCCUUUGGCUCCUCCACAGAGGCCAUCUCCUUGCAUGCAGCCUGCUCCGGGGCGCAUCAUCUCCUGGCUUUAAGCUUCUACGUUUCUAGAAAACUGGAUGACUCUGCAAAGGAGUUCCAAACUCUUCCCAGCUCCUCUGACUCUGAAUGGCUGUUUUCCAAGACAAAAGUUAGUUGAAAAGAGAGGUGCUUAAGAUAGGGAUGUAACUUCUAAUAAUAUUAAAGUAUAAAAGAAAAAGAAGCUUGGAGGUGGACUUGACCAUGGGACUAAUUUAUUGGAAACGCGAAAGCAUUUUAGCCUUUCUAAUGCAAGUAGGCAGACUGCAUCAUUGCAAGGUAACUACGGAGCUGUUUUCCUGACUACUCUAAUUUAGAUCCUUCUGUCAAUCCGUAUGAAAUAGAAAUUUCGCAACUUAGACCCAUUGCUGGUUUUGAAAUGUCAUCUUUUUCUAAGUAAUAAUGAUUUUUAAAAUGUUCUUUGCGUAUCUUUAAUCAUUCUGUCUUCUCUCUUCUGUUUUUUCAAUCUCCAAACAACGAUCAUUUUGAUUGUAGGCCUCAGCUUUCAUUUUUUUCUUGACCCGUUACUAUUUUUUAUCUUCGAGCCCGGUCUAAAAAUGUAUAUCAGUUCUUACUUCUUAAAAAUGAGCUAAACAGAGCUUUCUUCUACUCAGCUGCUGCUGCAACUCUGUCUUCACACAGUACUCGAGUCCCAUAGUGUUUGCUCCUCGGCAUUGCGCUCUUGGGCAUUCAGUAACCCAAAUAGACGCCAAAACAUAGUUACAGUGUUAAGGAUCUUAAAACAUCACCCAAAUGGAGAACUGAGUUCUGGUGGGAAUCAAACCCAACUGCAGAUUCUGUGCUUUUGGCAAUAUAUUCCUUUCAUAUUGUAUAAAAUAUAAAGCCCUGUUUUUUGGUUGUGAUAUACGUUGUGAAAGUAAAUUUCUCUGAAGCAGUUGUAUUUAUGUUUUAGAAAGACUAAAAUACCACUUCACCCAGAGAGUUCGCAAAACCCGUCCGGAAUUGCUGUAGUAUCAUACGAAGAAACACGAAGAUUUUUGGGGAUGUAAUGCCUACAGCCCAAAUUCCUGGA
rnacentral:lncRNA from 1 species